rnacentral:rRNA from 1 species
GUGGGGAAUCUUGCACAAUGGAGGCAACUCUGAUGCAGCGACGCCGCGUGAGCGAUGAAGCCCUUCGGGGUGUAAAGCUCUUUCGACGGGAAAGAUUAUGACGGUACCCGGAGAAGAAGCUGCGGCUAACUACGUGCCAGCAGCCGCGGUAAUACGUAGGCAGCGAGCGUUGUUCGGAAUUACUGGGCGUAAAGAGUGUGUAGGCGGUGCUCCAAGUCUGGUGUGAAAUCUCCCGGCUUAACUGGGAGGGUGCGCCGGAAACUGGAGUGCUAGAGGGUGGGAGAGGUAAGCGGAAUUCCUGGUGUAGCGGUGAAAUGCGUAGAUAUCAGGAGGAACACCUGUGGUGUAGACAGCUUACUGGACCACUUCUGACGCUGAGACACGAAAGCGUGGGUAGCAAACAGGAUUAGAAACCCCGGUAGUCC